UGGUUAACAGGACAGAACGGGACGGCUCGCGCCCGGUUCCAAUUUGUUUCAAAUAAACUAACCUCUAAAUUCCGUUAACGGAGAAAGUAAACAGAUGUCGACACUCCGCGCUGAAACGACAGGAUAAAUACCACAGAGGGCUUCAUCCCUCCAGGGGUUCAUUUUCAUCCCUGUGAAGUUCACCCAUUUGUCGGGACAAAGUGUUGAAGCCGUCUACAGGAAAACCUCAGCAUGACUGAAAAAACAAUCCAACAACAACCGAAGUAAUGAGUGAGAAAAAUGUAGGGCUUACCUUACAAACGACUGGGAGUAUAUGAAACAAGGAGGCCUAAAGUAAAAGGAUACAAAUCGGAAAACCAACAAAAAAAAAACACCAGACUCUUCUCAUUGAGCUGAGAUUCCCUGCCCCAAGUCUCAUUGCUUCAACUGACUAUGUGUCACCAAGGGAAGUCAACACUCUAACCAAGAUGAACCCUUACAUCACUUCACACUUCAGGAGGGAUCUUUUCCCCCAUUUUCAUUUGUUGUAGACUUUUGUUUGCCCUGCUGUCAGCAGCCAGAUGAAAUGACUUUAACUCAGAUCAGUUAUAGCAGUAGUUUUUAUCUUUUGUUUUUUAGUUUUUUCUUUUCUCACCACAGGGCAGAGCUGAAGUUUGGAUUCUAUCCACUGUUCUAAACUGACUGCAUGUUAAUACUCUUGUGAAUGUUUCAGGGUUCAUUUGUAGAGAGAAUAGUUUGG